ensembl:lncRNA
UUUUUUUUUUUUUUUUUGGUGAAUCUUUAUUUUAUUGAUUUUUUUCCUCUGAUCUUUGAUUUCCUUCCUUCUGCUGACUUUAGGUUUUGUUUGUCCUUCUUUUUGUUAUUCUUUUAGGUGGUGGGUUAAAUUGUCGAUUUCACAUUUUUCUUCUUUUUUGAGGAAGGCCUGUAUUGCUAUGUACUUCCCUCUAAAGCACUGCUUUUGUGGUAUCCCAUAGAUUUUGAAUGGUCAUGUUUUUAUUAUCAUUUCUCUCAAGGUAUUUUUUAAUUUCCUUUUUGAUUUCCUCAUUGACCCAUUGGUUUUCAGUAGCAUAUUGUUUAGUCUCUGUGUAGUCAUUUUUUUUCUCAUGUCUUUUCCUGUGGUUGAUUUUUAAUUUCAUGUCAUUGUGGUCAGAGAAUUAUUUGAAAUAAUUUCUAUACUCAUAAAUUUGUUGAGGUUAGUUUUUUUUGUGCCCCAGUAUGUGGUCAAUCCUUGAGAAUGUACCAUGUGCACUUGAAAAGAAUGUGUAUUCUGAUUUUUUUAGAUGUAUUUCCUGAAAAUGUCAAUUAAAUCUAACUUUUCUAUUGUGUCAUUUAGGAUCUCUGUUGCCCUAUUGAUUUUCUGUCUAGAGGAUCUGUCUAUUGAUGUGAGUUGGGGUGUUAACAAUCACCUGCUAUGAUUGUAUGCCCAUUAAUUUCUCCUUUUAUGUCUGUUAGCAUUUGUUGUAUGUAUCUGGGUGCUGUUAUAUUAGGGGCAUAUAUAUAGAUAAUUGUAAUAUCUUCUUUUGUUUUUUCUUUCUUUUUUUUCUUUUCUAGGGCCGCACCUGCAGCAUAUGGAGGUUCCCAGGCUAAGGGUCUAAUCGGAGCUGCAGCCUCUGGCCUACGCCAGAGCCACAGCAACGUGGGAUCUGAGCCGCGCGUCUGCAACCUACACCACAGUUCAUGGCAACACCUGAUCCUUAACCCACUGAGCAAGGCCAGGGAUCGAACCCGAAACCUCAUGGUUCCUAGUCGGAUUUGUUAACCACUGAGCUACAGUGAGGACUCUGUAAUAUCUUCUUCUUGAAUGGAUCCUUUUACCAUUAAAUAGUGUCCUUUUUUGUCUUUCUUUAUGGCCUUCAUUUUAAAGUCUAUUUUGUCUGAUAUGAGUAUUGCAACUGUCUUGUCCAUUGGCAAUGAAAUAUCUUUUCCCAUCCCCACACUUUAAAUUUAUGUGUGUUCUUUGCUCUCAGGUGAGUCUCUUGUAGACAGCAUAUUGUAGACUCUUGUUUUUUUAUCCAAUCUGCCACUCUAUGUCUUUUGAUUGGAGCAUUCAGUCCAUUGACAUUUGACAUUACCAUUAAUUAUUGAUAAAUGUGUAUUAAUUGCCAUUUUAUUCCUUGUUUUCCAGUUGAUUUUAUGUUUGUCCUUUGUUACUUUCUUUUUUUCAUUUGGAUGAUUUCCUUUUGUGUUAUGCUUGUGUCCUCUUCGUUUUAGUUUUUGUGAAUGUAUUAUUUGGUUUUGAUUUGUGGUUGCCCUGUUCUAAGAGUUUUAUAAUUAUAGCUCUCAUGUUUUGGUCAUUGUUCCAUUUUGAGUUAAUUUUUGUAUUUCUUGUGAGGUGGGGGUCCAAAUUUAUUCUUUUGCAUUGCAGUUAUCCAGUUGUCCCAGUUCUUUUUGUUGAAAAGACAUUUUUCCCCCAUUGAAUUGUUUUGGCACUGAUGUUAGUUAGAUAUCAAUUGACAAUAAAAGUAAAGUUUUGGAGUUCCCAUCGUGGCUCAGUGGUUAACGACCACUUGGGAACCAUGAAGUUGCAGCUUCGAUCCCUGGCCUUGCUCUGUGGAUUAAGGAUCCGGCAUUGCCGUGAGCUGUGGUGUAGUUUGCAGACGCAGCUCUGAUCUGGCGUUGCUGUGGCUCUGGCCAGCAGCUACAGCUCCGAUUCGACCCCUAGCCUGGGAACCUCUGUAUGCUGCAGGAGUGCCCCUAGAAAAGGCAAAAAGUCAAAGAAAAAAAAAAGUUUUUAUUUCUUGACUCUCAAUUCCAUUUCAUUGAAUAUGUAGAAUUAAGGAGUUCCCGUCGUGGCACAGUGGAAAUGAAUUAUGUUGUGGUGUGGCCCUAAAAAGAUAAAUAAAUAAAUAAGCAGAAUAAAGUAAUAGAUUUGUAGUAGAUUUUAAAAGCAGGCAAUAUGAGCUCUCUGACUUUGUUCUUUUUCAGAAUUGUUUAGCAGUUUUCAAUCUCUUAUUAACAGAUUUUCUGAAUCAGCAUCUCCUUUCAUGUCUUACCUCUGUGUGGUUUCAUUAACCUUUCAUGAUUUUUUUAAUCUGAAAUUACUCUCUUGAGGAUCACUUGAAGUAUUCUUUGACCAGGAAUUCCCUUUUAGCACAGUGGAUUAAGGAUCUGUUUUUGUCACUGCAGCAGCUUGAGUCACUGCUGUGGCAGGGGUUUGAUCCCUGGUCUGGAACUUCCACAUGCCUUAGGUAUGACCAAAAGAAAAUUCUUUGGCCAAAUUCAGUAUUCCCCUUAUUUGCCACUCCCAUUAUGUACUUUAUUUUUCAGUUUUUUGUAACGUUUCCCCUCUGUUCUUCCAAUUUCCAGGGUUUGUUUGUUUUUGUUUUUGUUUUUUUUUGCAACUUUUUUCCCUGUCGAAAUAUUUCUUUUUAUCUUCCAGUUAGCUGUUGAAUAUCCUUCAUAUGCUAAGCCCUCUGUUAAUCUCUGGAUAAUAAAAUUCUAUUAAACACAAUCCUUAUUCUUAAUUUAUUUAUGACAAACACUGUGAGUUAGGUGAGUCCGUGUUAAAUCCUCUUUCAUAAACUAGAAUCAAUUUUUUUUUCUUUCUUUUUCAGCCACACCUGUGACAUAUGAAAGUUCUAAGGCCGGGGAUCGAAUCCAGCCUUUAGCUGUGACCUAUGCUACAGCUGCAAAAAUGCCAGUUCCUUAACCCACUGUGCCAGGCUGGAGGUCACGCCCAUGCCCCCUCAAAGACAAUGUUGGAUCCUUAACCCACUGUACUACAGUGGCAACUCCUUCAGAUUUUUGUCUUUGAUUUUCCUUUUAGUAAUAUAUUUCAGUUUAUGUUUUGUUAAACUUGAAAGUAAUACCUUAAAGCACUGUUUAUUUUAUAAUAAUUAUAAAGAUAAAAGCAAGUGUUGUCUCUAUAGAGAAACUGAAUAUACAGCAAUAACAAAAAGGAAAAACUAAUUCUAAAAAGUGAUACAAGGAGUUCCCUGGUGGCCUCAUGGGUUAAGGAUCCAGCAUUGUCACUGCUGUGACUCGGGUCACUGCUGUGGCAUGGAUUUGAUCCCUGGUCCAGGAACUUUUGUAUGCCAUAGGUGUAGCCAAAAAAAAAAAAAAA